GGCGGUUCUCAGGUGACGCACCCCGGAAUUGGGCUCCCUCCUCCCUGGUUCCGGGUGCAUCACCUGGAAACAGCA
rfam:Myotis davidii contig318045, whole genome shotgun sequence.